rnacentral:rRNA from 1 species
GACGAACGCUGGCGGCGUGCUUAACACAUGCAAGUCGAGCGGUAAGGCCCUUUCGGGGGUACACGAGCGGCGAACGGGUGAGUAACACGUGGGUGACCUGCCCUCAGCUCUGGGAUAAGCCUGGGAAACCGGGUCUAAUACCGGAUAUGACUCCAUGACGCAUGUUGUGGGGUGAAAGCCUCGUGCGGCUGAGGAUGGGCCCCGCGGCCUAUCAGCUUGUUGGUGGGGUGANGGCCUACCAAGGCGACGACGGGUGGCCGGCCUGAGAGGGCGACCGGCCACACUGGGAC